rnacentral:lncRNA from 1 species
UUAUUUCCUUGCCAGAUGCCAGGGGAGGGGUACUCUGCCUCACCAGAAGAGGACCUGGAAUUGCAUAACUACAAGGACAACUUGUGUGACUUCUAAAACAGGGCCCUACAUGGAAAAAUUAUUAUUCAUCUUUGGAGAGAACAUCUUGUCAAGUGGAGCUGUUCAACAAAACAAGGAAAACAUCUCUGCCAAAGCACAGCAAAUGUGAUUACCAAGCCAAGGAGAAGCCCAUAAUUAGAUCAUUUCCAUGGAAACAACCUAAUUACAUGUGUAAAGCAGUGAGAGCUGAGCUGUGCAUUGAAUAUGCUAAUACCAUUGUCUAUGUUGUAAUGUUUCUGCUACUUAGCUUCCCUCAAAUAUAAAAUAUAAACCGUGUAGAUAAACCCCAACUUCUUUUCUUUUUUUUCACUUAGCAAAGGGAAUAAAGACCCACUGUGCAUUGCAAAUGAAUGUAAUCCUGGGAUAUUUAACUGUUUAUCAUCAACACACACCUAUACCCUUAUAUGCUAAAGAAUGCCUUAAAUGAUAAUGUCAUGUAUAUUAAUAAUAAGUGUACAGUAUUAUGUAAGUAGCCAAAUGGCCAUAAGUGAGCAUUCUGUAAUUUCACAUAAUGUGUUAUUUAUAAAAACAA